rnacentral:rRNA from 1 species
GACGAACGCUGGCGGCGUGCUUAACACAUGCAAGUCGAGCGGUAAGGCCCUUUCGGGGGUACACGAGCGGCGAACGGGUGAGUAACACGUGGGUGACCUGCCCUUAGCUCUGGGAUAAGCCUGGGAAACUGGGUCUAAUACCGGAUAUGACUCCAUGACGCAUGUUGUGGGGUGGAAAGCCUUGUGCGGCUAGGGAUGGG